UAACACAGCAUUUGCAUAGCAGACAGCUUCAUACGUCCAUCUGCUCUCCCAGCUUCCCCAGGAGACUGCAGCCUGGCUCCUCUCUAAGCCCCUGCAAAUCCCUGAAAGCAUCCGACUUUGUUAGUGACGCCCAGCAGCCGGCGUGAGGGUAAGAGCAAAGCAAAGGGAGCGCAGCCGACUCCGCAACCAGCCAUGUGACGCAGGGACCGAAACCAGAACACAUGGAGCAUGGGAUUCCUUUCCACUGAGGUCAAGAACUUAGCAAAGCCUGAAAGAGAUGGAAGAAGACUACCUUUGUAGCUACUGAAACUCAUCCAUUCAAAUUUACAAGGGAGAAUUGACGGAGCAGUUCUGGCAUCUCACUAUGGAUUCAGAGGACCUGAGAUUGGCAGCACAAAACGACCAUUCGAGUUUUGCACUUUGUCCUUCAGAAAGAUGGAGACCUGCAAAGAACACCCCACCCACGAGAGCACCAGUCAGAUGCCUCCUCACAUCACCUGCUCAGGGCUCAAUCCUGUAGUCCGCCAACAUCAAAGAGAGACCAGUGUGUGAAACAAGCAUGUGAUGGGCCCACAACAGUCACACUGCUUGGCAUCAUACCCCGAUUUGAAAUAAACUGCUUGCGCUCA